rnacentral:rRNA from 1 species
AUUGAACGCUGGCGGCAUGCUUUACACAUGCAAGUCGAACGGUAACAGGGUGCUUGCACCGCUGACGAGUGGCGAACGGGUGAGUAAUGCGUCGGAACGUGCCGAGUAGCGGGGGAUAACGCAGCGAAAGUUGUGCUAAUACCGCAUACGUACUGAGGUAGAAAGUGGGGGACCUUCGGGCCUUACGCUAUUCGAGCGGCCGACGUCUGAUUAGCUAGUAGGGGAGGUAAAGGCUCACCUAGGCGACGAUCAGUAGCGGGUCUGAGAGGAUGAUCCGCCACACUGGGACUGAGACACGGCCCAGACUCCUACGGGAGGCAGCAGUGGGGAAUUUUGGACAAUGGGCGAAAGCCUGAUCCAGCCAUGCCGCGUGUCUGAAGAAGGCCUUCGGGUUGUAAAGGACUUUUGUCAGGGAGGAAAUCCCUAGUGCUAAUAACACUGGGGGAUGACAGUACCUGAAGAAUAAGCACCGGCUAACUACGUGCCAGCCGCCGCAGUAA